rnacentral:rRNA from 1 species
CCUACAGGUGGCUGCAGUGGGGAAUAUUGGACAAUGGGGGCAACCCUGAUCCAGCCAUGCCGCGUGUGUGAAGAAGGCCCUCGGGUUGUAAAGCACUUUCAGUGAGGAAGAACGCCUGGUGGUUAAUACCCAUCAGGAAAGACAUCACUCACAGAAGAAGCACCGGCUAACUCCGUGCCAGCAGCCGCGGUAAUACGGAGGGUGCGAGCGUUAAUCGGAAUUACUGGGCGUAAAGCGCGCGUAGGUGGCUUGAUAAGCCGGUUGUGAAAGCCCCGGGCUCAACCUGGGAACGGCAUCCGGAACUGUCAAGCUAGAGUGCAGGAGAGGAAGGUAGAAUUCCCGGUGUAGCGGUGAAAUGCGUAGAGAUCGGGAGGAAUACCAGUGGCGAAGGCGGCCUUCUGGACUGACACUGACACUGAGGUGCGAAAGCGUGGGUAGCAAACAGGAUCAGAUACCCCUGUAGUC